rnacentral:misc_RNA from 1 species
GAUGAAGAACGUAGCGAAAUGCGAUACGUAAUGUGAAUUGGAAUUCAGUGAAUCAUCGAGUCUUUGAACGCACAUUGCGCCCCCUGGUAUUCCGGGGGGCAUGCCUGUCCGAGCGUCAUUGCUGCCCUCAAGCACGGCUUGUGUGUUGGGCCUCCGUCCUCCUCCCGGGGGACGGGCCCGAAAGGCAGCGGCGGCACCGCGUCCGGUCCUCGAGCGUAUGGGGCUUCGUCACCCGCUCUUGUAGGCCCGGCCGGCGCUUGCCGACACAUCAAUCUUUUUUCCAGGUUGACCUCGGAUCAGGUAGGGAUACCCGCUGAACUUAAGCAUAUCAAUAAGCGGAGGA